rnacentral:rRNA from 1 species
GAUGAACGCUGGCGGCGUGCUUAACACAUGCAAGUCGAGCGAAGCACUUGCCAUUGACUCUUCGGAAGAUUUGGCAUUUGACUGAGCGGCGGACGGGUGAGUAACGCGUGGGUAACCUGCCUCAUACAGGGGAAUAACAGUUAGAAAUGGCUGCUAAUGCCGCAUAAGCGCACAGGACCGCAUGGUCUGGUGUGAAAAACUGAGGUGGUAUGAGAUGGGCCCGCGUCUGAUUAGGUAGUUGGCGGGGUAACGGCCCACCAAGCCGACGAUCAGUAGCCGACCUGAGAGGGUGACCGGCCACAUUGGGACUGAGACACGGCCCAGACUCCUACGGGAGGCAGCAGUGGGGAAUAUUGCACAAUGGAGGAAACUCUGAUGCAGCGACGCCGCGUGAAGGAAGAAGUAUCUCGGUAUGUAAACUUCUAUCAGCAGGGAAGAAAAUGACGGUACCUGACUAAGAAGCCCCGGCUAACUACGUGCCAGCAGCCGCGGUAAUACGUAGGGGGCAAGCGUUAUCCGGAUUUACUGGGUGUAAAGGGAGCGUAGACGGACGGGCAAGUCUGAUGUGAAAGCCCGGGGCUUAACCCCGGGACUGCAUUGGAAACUGUCCAUCUUGAGUGCCGGAGAGGUAAGCGGAAUUCCUAGUGUAGCGGUGAAAUGCGUAGAUAUUAGGAGGAACACCAGUGGCGAAGGCGGCUUACUGGACGGUAACUGACGUUGA